rnacentral:rRNA from 1 species
UACAGAGGGUGCGAGCGUUAAUCGGAAUUACUGGGCGUAAAGCGUGCGCAGAUGGUCAUGUAAGUCGGGUGUGAAAGCCCAGGGCUUAACCCUGGAAUUGCCUUUUAAGACUGCAUCGCUAGAAUCGUGGAGAGGUGAGUGGAAUUCCGAGUGUAGAGGUGAAAUUCGUAGAUAUUCGGAAGAACACCAGUGGCGAAGGCGACUCACUGGACACGUAUUGACGCUGAGGUGCGAAAGCGUGGGGAGCAAACAGG